AACGAACGCUGGCGGCAGGCUUAACACAUGCAAGUCGAACGAUGAACCAGGUGCUUGCACUUGGGGAUUAGUGGCGAACGGGUGAGUAACACGUGAGCAACCUGCCCCUGACUCUGGGAUAAGCGCUGGAAACGGCGUCUAAUACUGGAUAUGUGACGUGGCCGCAUGGUCUGCGUUUGGAAAGAUUUUUCGGUUGGGGAUGGGCUCGCGGCCUAUCAGCUUGUUGGUGAGGUAAUGGCUCACCAAGGCGUCGACGGGUAGCCGGCCUGAGAGGGUGACCGGCCACACUGGGACUGAGACACGGCCCAGACUCCUACGGGAGGCAGCAGUGGGGAAUAUUGCACAAUGGGCGGAAGCCUGAUGCAGCAACGCCGCGUGAGGGAUGACGGCCUUCGGGUUGUAAACCUCUUUUAGCAGGGAAGAAGCGAGAGUGACGGUACCUGCAGAAAAAGCGCCGGCUAACUACGUGCCAGCAGCAGCCGCCGUAA
rnacentral:rRNA from 1 species